AUACAUAUGAAAAGGGUGAAACCCGUAUCAUUGUCAAAAAUAUAUAGCGGGAUGGAAAAUAAUGCCACCCAGUGUAUAUGUCGUUGAGUAAGUAUGAAAAACAGGGAUAAAUAGUAGUUGGUUACCGAUGGAGUCAGUUUCAACUUUGACAUUUGAUUUGUUGAGAGAAAAAUAAAUAAAUAUGACCAUACAUUAAUACAUGCUUAAAUAACUAUCCAAAUAAAUAGUGGAAACUCUGAAUCCACGGAGAGAAAGUCUCAACAUUUUUAUCAUGUUUCUUUGGCCAUUUGUCUCCCAAAUGGAACUGAUUUCGGCUUCUGCUGUCUGUCAUGUUCCCUCUGUGUCUGAGAGGGGGUCAAGAAACAAAGCACCCAGCUGACUUAAGCCUUCUUCCAUGAUCAAAAUAAGAUGUCCCUUCUGUUUUCAGAGAGACAAGUCUGGACUCACUCGAGCUGAUUUAAGCAUCGUGAGCUCCAUAGUUAUAUCUGUGCAUUAUGAGCAUGGAGACCAAUGAUGGAGGCACCACAGCGAAUUAAAUGAUUCUGCAGUCAUGAAGAUCUCCGCCUUAGCCCUCUGGGGAAGGAGCAUACCGUGCUCUGU